rnacentral:rRNA from 1 species
UACGGGGGGGGCAAGCGUUGUUCGGAAUUACUGGGCGUAAAGGCUCGUAGGCGGCCAACUAAGUCAGACGUGAAAUCCCUCGGCUUAACCGGGGAACUGCGUCUGAUACUGGAUGGCUUGAAUCCGGGAGAGGGAUGCGGAAUUCCAGGUGUAGCGGUGAAAUGCGUAGAUAUCUGGAGGAACACCGGUGGCGAAGGCGGGUCUCUGGGCAGUAACUGACGCUGAGGAGCGAAAGCGUGGGGAGCGAACAGG